rnacentral:rRNA from 1 species
UGCCCUAGUACGGCGAGUGAAGCGGCAACAGCUCAAAUUUGAAAUCUGGCUCUCGGGCCCGAGUUGUAAUUUGUAGAGGAUACUUUUGAUGCGGUGCCUUCCGAGUUCCCUGGAACGGGACGCCAUAGAGGGUGAGAGCCCCGUCUGGUUGGAUGCCAAAUCUCUGUAAAGUUCCUUCGACGAGUCGAGUAGUUUGGGAAUGCUGCUCUAAAUGGGAGGUAUAUGUCUUCUAAAGCUAAAUACCGGCCAGAGACCGAUAGCGCACAAGUAGAGUGAUCGAAAGAUGAAAAGCACUUUGAAAAGAGAGUUAAAAAGUACGUGAAAUUGUUGAAAGGGAAGCGUUUAUGACCAGACUUGGGCUUGGUUAAUCAUCUGGGGUUCUCUCCAGUGCACUUUUCCAGUCCAGGCCAGCAUCAGUUUUCGCCGGGGGAUAAAGACUUCAGGAAUGUGGCUCCUCUCGGGGAGUGUUAUAGCCUGUUGUGUAAUACCCUGGCGGGGACUGAGGUUCGCGCUUCUGCAAGGAUGCUGGCGUAAUGGUCAUCAACGACCCGUCUUGAAACACGGACCAAGGAGUCGUCUUCGUAUGCGAGUGUUCGGGUGUAAAACCCCUACGCGUAAUGAAAGUGAACGCAGGUGAGAGCUUCGGCGCAUCAUCGACCGAUCCUGAUGUUCUCGGAUGGAUUUGAGUAAGAGCAUACGGGGCCGGACCCGAAAGAAGGUGAACUAUGCCUGUGUAGGGUGAAGCCAGAGGAAACUCUGGUGGAGGCUCGCAGCGGUUCUGACGUGCAAAUCGAUCGUCAAACAUGGGCAUG